UGUCAACUAGCUGUUGGGGCCUUCGGGCCUUGGUAGCGCAGCUAACGCGUGAAGUUGACCGCCUGGGGAGUACGGUCGCAAGAUUAAAACUCAAAGGAAUUGACGGGGACCCGCACAAGCGGUGGAUGAUGUGGAUUAAUUCGAUGCAACGCGAAAAACCUUACCUACCCUUGACAUGUCUGGAAUGCCGAAGAGAUUUGGCAGUGCUCGACAAGAGACCGGAACACAGGUGCUGCAUGGCUGUCGUCAG
rnacentral:rRNA from 1 species